CAUUGUCGAAUGCUUGUACCGAAUGACCUGCGAACACGUUCCGAAAAAAUGAGGAGCGCUGUUGCGCCCUUGCUUGGUGGUUGGUCGGUGACCUGUUUGCCGGACGCGUCGAGCGUGGAAAACAAAAUCCGGCGCGGGGAGCGCCAAGGACUAGCGAAAUAUGGAGGAUGGCCUUCCCGCGGUAUCGCGGCCGCGGGGAUUAAAAGGGCGUCCGAAUGAAAAUGGUUUAAUAUUUUAAUAUAUACAACACGACUCUCGGCAACGGAUAUCUAGGCUCUCGCAUCGAUGAAGAACGUAGCAAACUGCGAUAGUUGGUGUGAAUUGCAGAAUCCCGUGAACCAUGGAGUCUUUGAACGCAAGUUGCGCCCGAAGCCAUUAGGCCGAGGGCACGUCUGCCUGGGCGUCGAGCAUUGCGUCGUCCCCCCCCCCCCCGGGUUUUCGGGACGGCGGGGCGUGGCGUGGGGGGCGGAAGUUGGCUUCCCGUGCAGCGUUUGCGGCUAGCCCGAAACAACGGUUUCCCUCGGCGCGGACGUGGCGACAAGUGGUGGUCGUGGGAGAUUGUACGCGAGUUGCCGGCAAAGCUGCGUCGAGGAGAGCAUUUGGACCCUGUGCGAGUGGAGUCCCUUCAGCGAGGGGCAAUCGCAACGAUCGCGACCCCAGGUCAGGCG
rnacentral:misc_RNA from 1 species